rnacentral:rRNA from 1 species
UACAGAGGGUGCGAGCGUUGUUCGGAAUUAUUGGGCGUAAAGCGCGUGUAGGCGGUAACGUAAGUCGGGUGUGAAAGCCCUCAGCUCAACUGAGGAAGUGCGCCCGAAACUACGGAGCUUGAGUGCUGGAGAGGGUGGCGGAAUUCCCGGUGUAGAGGUGAAAUUCGUAGAUAUCGGGAGGAACACCAGAGGCGAAGGCGGCCACCUGGACAGACACUGACGCUGAGACGCGAAAGCGUGGGUAGCAAACAGG